UACAGAGGGGGCGAGCGUUAUUCGGAAUCAUUGGGCGUAAAGGGCGCGUAGGCGGCCGCGUAAGUCUCGGGUGAAAUCCCUCGGCUCAACCGAGGAACUGCCCUGGAAACUGCGCGGCUCGAGGCCGGGAGAGGAUGGUGGAAUUCCCAGUGUAGCGGUGAAAUGCGUAGAUAUUGGGAGGAACACCGGUGGCGAAGGCGGCCAUCUGGACCGGUCCUGACGCUGAGGCGCGAAAGCGUGGGGAGCAAACAGGAUUAGAUACCCUGGUAGUCCACGCCCUAAACGAUGGGUACUCGGUGUCGCGGGUAUCGACCCCCGCGGUGCCUUAGCUAACGCGUUAAGUACCCCGCCUGGGGAGUACGGUCGCAAGGCUGAA
rnacentral:rRNA from 1 species